rnacentral:lncRNA from 1 species
GAUCGUGUGGUCCCCCUAUUGAUUGGCCGAUUAGAGGUGCGGCCGGUAUGACAGUGGUCGAUGGCAGGAAGGCGACGAUGGUGCAGCUCGAAAGAAGUGAAUCCGGCGGUCGGCGAUGACCACCAGCAUCAAAAAAUCAAGAAAAAGAGUGGCUAAAACAAAGAUUAUCUUCCCCAACAAAAUCUGACGACUCCGAUCACCGGCGAUCAUGUACACAGGCAAAGGAAUGAAGGGG